rnacentral:tRNA from 1 species
GCGGGAAUAGCUCAGUUGGUAGAGCACGACCUUGCCAAGGUCGGGGUC